CUAGCCGUAAACGAUGGAUACUAGGUGUUAGAGGUAUCGACCCCUCUAGUGCCGAAGCUAACGCAUUAAGUAUCCCGCCUGGGGAGUACGGCCGCAAGGCUGAAACUCAAAGGAAUUGACGGGGGCCCGCACAAGCGGUGGAGCAUGUGGUUUAAUACGUCACUAACCGUAGAACCUUACCCAGGUUUGACAUCUGGGGAAUCCUGGUGAAAGCCGGGAGUGCUUCGUAAGAAGAACCCCAAGACAGGUGU
rnacentral:rRNA from 1 species